UUUGUACACACCGCCCGUCGCUACUACCGAUUGAAUGGCUCAGUGAGGCCUUCGGACUGACUCAGGGAGGUCGGCAACGACCACCCAGAGUCGGAAAGUUGGUCAAACUCGGUCAUUUAGAGGAAGUAAAAGUCGUAACAAGGUCUCCGUAGGUGAACCUGCGGAGGGAUCAUU
rnacentral:rRNA from 1 species